rnacentral:rRNA from 1 species
UACAGAGGUCCCAAGCGUUGUUCGGAUUCAUUGGGCGUAAAGGGUGCGUAGGCGGCGCGGUAAGUCGAGUGUGAAAUCUCGGAGCUUAACUUCGAAACUGCAUUCGAUACUGCCGUGCUUGAGGACUGGAGAGGAGACUGGAAUUUACGGUGUAGCGGUGAAAUGCGUAGAUAUCGUAAGGAAGACCAGUGGCGAAGGCGGGUCUCUGGACAGUUCCUGACGCUGAGGCACGAAGGCCAGGGGAGCAAACAGG